UUUUAUGAGAGUUUGAUCCUGGCUCAGGACGAACGCUGGCGGCGUGCCUAAUACAUGCAAGUCGAACGCUUCUUUUUCCACCGGAGCUUGCUCCACCGGAAAAAGAGGAGUGGCGAACGGGUGAGUAACACGUGGGUAACCUGCCCAUCAGAAGGGGAUAACACUUGGAAACAGGUGCUAAUACCGUAUAACAAUCGAAACCGCAUGGUUUUGAUUUGAAAGGCGCUUUCGGGUGUCGCUGAUGGAUGGACCCGCGGUGCAUUAGCUAGUUGGUGAGGUAACGGCUCACCAAGGCCACGAUGCAUAGCCGACCUGAGAGGGUGAUCGGCCACAUUGGGACUGAGACACGGCCCAAACUCCUACGGGAGGCAGCAGUAGGGAAUCUUCGGCAAUGGACGAAAGUCUGACCGAGCAACGCCGCGUGAGUGAAGAAGGUUUUCGGAUCGUAAAACUCUGUUGUUAGAGAAGAACAAGGAUGAGAGUAACUGUUCAUCCCUUGACGGUAUCUAACCAGAAAGCCACGGCUAACUACGUGCCAGCAGCCGCGGUAAUACGU
rnacentral:rRNA from 1 species